UACGGAGGGUGCAAGCGUUAUCCGGAAUCACUGGGUUUAAAGGGUACGUAGGCGGUUUUAUAAGUCAGACGUCAAAGGCUGUGGCUAAACCACGGUACGCGUUUGAAACUGUAAGACUUGAAUAUGUUCGAGGUGCAUGGAAUGCUUCAUGUAGCGGUGAAAUGCAUAGAUAUGAAGUAGAACACCAAUUGCGAAGGCAG
rnacentral:rRNA from 1 species